rnacentral:rRNA from 1 species
GUCCACGCUGUAAACGUUGGGCACUAGGUGUGGGCUCUAACCAACGGAGUCCGUGCCGCAGCUAACGCAUUAAGUGCCCCGCCUGGGGAGUACGGCCGCAAGGUUAAAACUCAAAGGAAUUGACUGGGGCCCCGCACAAGCAGCGGAGCAUGUUGCUUAAUUCGAGGCAACGCGAAGAACCUUACCUGGGCUUGACAUGCUGAGAAAUCUCGUAGAGAUACGGGGUCCUUCGGUGCUCAGCACAGGUGGUGCAUGGCUGUCGU